CGCGCGGCUCCAGGUGGCGGGAGGCGGCGGUUGGCGGGAAGGGCCGCGCGGGCCCGGGGGCGGCGCCUCAGAUGCGCUCUUUCCAGAAAGGCAGCACACGCAUGUCUCUGCCGUGGCCCCAGAUCCUCCCCGCGCCGCCGUUUUGAGCGUUCACACUCAUUACCCAGGUCCGUCUGGGAGACCCGCCGGGCUCCCGCCCUCCCGGCCCGCAGCCUCCUGGCCAAAAUCCUCCCGGGACACCCCACCUGGACUGCUGCGAACGGGCCUCCACCCGCCUCCCCGGACCCGCAGCGCCCCCCGCUCCCUCAGGGUUCUGGGGUGAAGGGGUCUGAAUAGCACCAGGGGAGGCGGCAGGGCGGGCCUGUCCUACCUGCGCCCGAGCACUGCUGAGACGACAUCCCUUCCAGCGCCGCCACGUAGUCCAGCCCCAGCCAGCCGCGAUAUCUCCCCACAAACCUAAACAAUUUCGAGAGGGACUUGUGUUCUGCAACCAGUCACAGAAUAUCAGGUGAGCUGGGCGUGUCUUCACUGACCCACCCGCCCAGGGAUGCUGCACUCCUCUCCACCCUGCUCAGAAUCACUAGAAUGACCGUUCUGUGGCUACAGCCCUAAAAGAGCUACUAAAAAGACCAGAAGUAGUAUGAGAACUUAUGAAUACGAAUAUAAAUAAAGGACAUCUGGAGAACAUGCAUGAAUGUCUAUGUAAAGUGUUAAGUACUGAUCAAGGAGGAACGAAGGAGUCAGGUGGCUCUCAGUCUUUUUGGAGGGACUCGCAGAUCCUCCUGAAGAUCUGAUGAAAGCUGUCAGCCUUCUCCCCAGAAAAAUGCACAUCCACCCAGGAUUCUUCUCCCACAUUACUUCAGAGGACUUAGCAACCCCCUAGGGAAGCCCAGGGACCCAGAGUAAAGCACUCCUGGGAUAGAGGGGUUCUGUGGGGAAGAUGACAGGAAGGAACAUGCGUCAGUUCACAAUGUCAAAGUUUAGGAACAGGCCUGGCGAGCCAGCCAGCUCUGCAGUUCUGUGGUGCUGGUGGGUGUGGAGAAGGCAAUUUCAGCAUAAGUCGGGGGAGGGGGAGUGGUUAGAAACCAGUGGCUCCAUUGUGAGACAACCUGGGUUUAAAUUCUAGGUAUAUU
rnacentral:lncRNA from 10 species